CUUUGGCCGUGCCGCCCCGCUGCCUGGCUGCUGAGAGUUGCUCCUGCCGCUGGGGGGGAAACCGAGCUCUGUGGCUCCAGGGGUGUUGUCCACCCGCCUGUAAUCAGGGUCUGGGUGCGUGAGCGUUUGUGCUCUGCUGGCAGCCUGUGUGGGGUGACCGCCCCGCUAGCGGGGUGUGGGUCGAGGUGCCCCGGACUGGGAGAGAAGGAGCCUCCCUCGGCCGUAGGGAUGGGGGCUGCCCUGUAAGUCAGGGAGCAUCUGUGUCCCGGAGUCCCAGGCCCUUUUCGAUGGCGGCAGUGGCCGGGGGUCCCCUGUAAGCAGGGAAGCUGACUCUUUGGCUGCUGCUUUUUGUGUGCCCAGCCCCAUUUGCCCAGUCUGCCCGCCUCUGUGAUCCCCCGCAGCACUGGCUGGAAGUCCGCUGCGUGUCAGUGAGGAGCUGCUGCAGAAGGAAGAAGAAGAAGCAGCGGCGUGGGGACCUGGGAGGCAGGAGCAAGCAAGAAGAGGAAGCGGAAGCGUGCAGAUGUGGGGGGGAAGGAGAGAGGCUCCCUGGGCAAAGCACCUGUCCCGUUAGCAGGGGCACAGUCACGUUUGAGUUGAGAGCUGCCGGCGCCUUUGGUGACCAGGCUGGCGUUGUGCUGGGCGACCUCCCCGUAAGCGGGGCUCGGGUCUUUGCUGUAGUUGGCCUUUUGCCUUGCUGCUCCUUUGGCUGCCUGGGGAGCGUGGCCCCCUGUAACGGAGGGCAAGAGCCACCUCUCCGCACCUGAGUGGGAAAUGGAGCUCGCUGGACCCCAAGGCCACCCUGUAAGCAGGGUAGUGCCGUUUCCCUGCCCCUCUUCCUCCCCCGGCCCCUCGGCAUUAUUGCCUGAUGGUGGCUUGUCAACGCGACGGCCCCGUACUCGGGGUGUGCGUCACGGCAUUUGGCCGUUGGCUUUACCUGAGAAGCCCCUUGGCACGUUGAGGUCCGUGGCCUCCGUGCAGCCUAGGGACAGGUCACAGGCUCUUGUCUGUUGCCCGUGGUUGUGGGUUUAUUCCCAGGUGUUGGCUGUGCUGCGUUGUCCUUCCCUUCUGGAAAGUCGUGCCUGUGUGUGCGUGUUCCCCUUCCUUUCCUUGUUUGUGUUUGUGGAGUGGUUGAGCGGCUGUGCUUUCCCUUUAGGCCUCCACAAAGAUGGCUGCAGCUUAGCUUUGACUUCCCAGGGGGGAAUGGAGGACUUUGGUGCAUGCCGCAAAAGGGGUGUUCCCUCUUAGUCCUGCGAGCGCAGCGAGUGUCCUGUCUUCCUACUAUUUUCCUUAGUGCAGAUCAGAGCCACACGGUAGUUCUGUGGCCAAGGCCUCCCUGUAGCCAGGGCUUGGGCCUGUCCUUGCGUGGCCGCCUGUCCUGCUGGCGGCGGUGACAGCCCCGUACUCGGGGUGUGUGUCCCAAGCUUUGGAGCCCUCUGUCCCUGAGCAGCC
rnacentral:lncRNA from 1 species